rnacentral:misc_RNA from 1 species
AGGAAAUCGAAAUUAAGGAAAGUGGAGCUGUUCCAAACUGAAUUUGAGCAAUUAUAAAUGUAACUUGAGCAGUUCUUUAACACUUUGAGCAAUUUAAAAUAUUGUAUACAUCAAAAGAUAUAGGAGUUUGAAAAUAUUGAUAAAAGAAUAUUUUUCCACGACUUUUUUGAUUUUUAAUUAAAUAAUUUGAGGUGAGCAAUUUAAAAGGACAAC